GACAGAGGAUGCAAGCGUUAUCCGGAAUGAUUGGGCGUAAAGCGUCUGUAGGUGGCUUUUCAAGUCCGCCGUCAAAUCCCAGGGCUCAACCCUGGACAGGCGGUGGAAACUACCAAGCUGGAGUACGGUAGGGGCAGAGGGAAUUUCCGGUGGAGCGGUGAAAUGCAUAGAUAUCGGGAAGAACACCAACGGCGAAAGCACUCCGCUGGGCUGAUACUGACACUGACAGACGAAAGCUAGGGUAGCGAAAGGG
rnacentral:rRNA from 1 species